GCCUUUGUAGCUUAAUUGGUUAAAGCAAUCGUUUGAAGUACGAUAUAUGUGAGUUCAACUCUCAACUAAGGCA
rnacentral:tRNA from 1 species